rnacentral:lncRNA from 1 species
GAGCAUUCUGGACGCUAGUGGGAAGCUGCCCUGUGAAGACCAGGCAGGCAGGGAAGAAUAGAGUGGUGGAGACUGGCCUGAAAAAGCUGGGGACUGGGAAAGAUCUCAGACCAGGAGUUAGAAUACUUUAUGAAUUUUCCAUCUACAGUCUCUUGUCUGAUUACACUGAGGAGAACAAAGUCAUUAAACGUAAUCACCGUGUUAAUAGAUGAGAGAUUGAAGACGCGAGGGUUGGGCCACCAAAGCUUUAUGUCUUAAUCAUUCCAGACAACUUCCCCAAAUAUGGAUUGUGUGUGCCACAGAAAGAACAAUGAAAAGCUGUGAGUUUGGUGUAGAAAAGAUAAAUAUAAGCCCUCUCUCCACUUGUUGGCUCCCAGGAAGAAUUCAUUUAGAAGUGAAGGCCUCAGCAAGAAGACAAGCCUUGGCUCAUGUAUCAGUUAUACAUUAGUAAUGCAGUAAGAGUUGUCUAGGCCUGGAUGGCCAUUUUAUUCCUUUAGCCUGCUGAGCAUGAAAGUGUGUUCAGCGUUCCCCAGUAACAGUGUCAACAGCACCUGUCUAGAUAGAGUUGGCACCUAACAGAAUCUGGCCAUUUGCAGCUUAUUUAACCUCGGGCAGUUGGCCACAGGAACCCAGCAACCUUCUGGCUGUUGUACUGGGCACCGCCUCCAUCAAGCACAAGGGAGCCGAGUGAACUGAACCUCCGGUUCAGCAGAGUCCAGAUUGUGCCUUUUUAGGAUACUGGAAAGAGUUUUUCAUUAACUCAUUUUAUAUAAACACUUAAAUGCAAUGAAUCUGUGUAUUCAAAUAUCCUGCUGGUAGAAACUCAGUGUUUAUACAUUUUGGCUCCUAUUGGUAUAAAUGACCAUGAUAAUAUUACAGUGGAUGACACUCUAAGCCUAAAUACUAGUUAUCCAUGACAAUGUGUUUCUAAAAAACACAUUCUCAUAAAAUAUAUUCCUCAAGCCUCCAAGCUCCUAAAACCCUGUUUGACAAUUGUUAUCUCUCUGUUUCAGAAUAAAGCCAGGCACUGAACAAUCAGCUACUGGUGUUGAGAGUGGACAGAAGGUUGGGGACAAGGAUGACGCCCCCUCCCUACACACCCUACAAAAAGAGUUGGGCAAGGGAAGCAGAUGGUGGAAGCAGGGUGUAAAAUAAGAGCACGGAUGGAAGUCAGGUGGAUCUAGAGAUAGGGCUGGAGUGGGGACAAUGCAGGGAUCAGGGUCUGCCCUGCAGCCCAGUGUACCUGGUCCCUGAGUCUAGAUGUAUAAGACAGAAUUGGAGCAAGGCAAUUGCAGCAGGAACGGGAGAUGGGAGAAGGAAAUGCCUAAGACUUGAGAAGAGCCUGGAUGAUGUUGGCAAAGCUUCAUGGAUCUGGAGAUGUGGGCAGGUGCCACAGUAAGAGGAAGAAACUGAAGUUAGCUCAGCAAUGCUACAAGUGGCUUGGGCUUAACAGAAGGUUUGGCAGAUGUCAACAUUCAAUUUCACAUCCGUCCAUCUGUGAGAGAAUCCAGAGCAUGGCUGGGUUCCAUUUGGAAGGAAAGCGCCUAAUUAUUUAGGUCUGAGGGUAUGCAAAGGUAUCUUGCGUUUUCAUAUUUAGUAUGCUGGUAACAACAACAACAACAACAACAACAAAACCCACAAUGUACAGGCAUUUAUCUUUUUAAAAUCUCCCACUUAAUAGCGAAUGUUUUGAGAUUAUAAUGUGAAAUCUGUAACACUUUGUAACAUACAAAAUAAAUUUGCAUGAAUGGGUCAUAACGUUGGAAAUUAAGUUUACAAAUAAAUUGGUUUUGUUUAAAAUGCCAA